rnacentral:rRNA from 1 species
GGCGGGACACGUGGUAUCCUGUCUGAAUAUGGGGGGACCAUCCUCCAAGGCUAAAUACUCCUGACUGACCGAUAGUGAACCAGUACCGUGAGGGAAAGGCGAAAAGAACCCCGGCGAGGGGAGUGAAAAAGAACCUGAAACCGUGUACGUACAAGCAGUGGGAGCCUACUUGUUAGGUGACUGCGUACCUUUUGUAUAAUGGGUCAGCGACUUAUAUUCUGUAGCAAGGUUAACCGUAUAGGGGAGCCGAAGGGAAACCGAGUCUUAACUGGGCGUUAAGUUGCAGGGUAUAGACCCGAAACCCGGUGAUCUAGCCAUGGGCAGGUUGAAGGUUGGGUAACACUAACUGGAGGACCGAACCGACUAAUGUUGAAAAAUUAGCGGAUGACUUGUGGCUGGGGGUGAAAGGCCAAUCAAACCGGGAGAUAGCUGGUUCUCCCCGAAAGCUAUUUAGGUAGCGCCUCGUGAACUCAUCUUCGGGGGUAGAGCACUGUUUCGGCUAGGGGGCCAUCCCGGCUUACCAACCCGAUGCAAACUACGAAUACCGAAGAAUGUUAUCACGGGAGACACACGGCGGGUGCUAACGUCCGUCGUGAAGAGGGAAACAACCCAGACCGCCAGCUAAGGUCCCAAAGUCAUGGUUAAGUGGGAAACGAUGUGGGAAGGCACAGACAGCCAGGAUGUUGGCUUAGAAGCAGCCAUCAUUUAAAGAAAGCGUAAUAGCUCACUGGUCGAGUCGGCCUGCGCGGAAGAUGUAACGGGGCUAAACCAUGCACCGAAGCUGCGGCAGCGACGCUUAUGCGUUGUUGGGUAGGGGAGCGUUCUGUAAGCCGUUGAAGGUGGCCUGUGAGGGUUGCUGGAGGUAUCAGAAGUGCGAAUGCUGACAUAAGUAACGAUAAUGCGGGUGAAAAGCCCGCACGCCGGAAGACCAAGGGUUCCUGUCCAACGUUAAUCGGGGCAGGGUGAGUCGACCCCUAAGGCGAGGCCGAAAGGCGUAGUCGAUGGGAAACAGGUUAAUAUUCCUGUACUUGGUGUUACUGCGAAGGGGGGACGGAGAAGGCUAUGUUAGCCGGGCGACGGUUGUC